AUUGAACGCUGGCGGCACGCCUAACACAUGCAAGUCGAGCGGUAACAUGGUCUGUAGCAAUACAGAUUGAUGACAAGCGGCGGACGGGUGAGGAAUACGUAGGAACUUGCCCAUAAGUGGGGGACAACCAAGGGAAACUUUGGCUAAUACCGCAUAAUCUCGGAAGAGAAAAGCUGCCGCAAGGUGGCGCUUAUGGAGAGGCCUGCGUCCGAUUAGCUAGUUGGAGAGGUAAAAGCUCACCAAGGCGAUGAUCGGUAACUGGUCUGAGAGGACGACCAGUCACACUGGGACUGAGACACGGCCCAGACUCCUACGGGUGGCAG
rnacentral:rRNA from 1 species